CCUACGGGAGGCAGCAGUGGGGAAUUUUGGACAAUGGGGGCAACCCUGAUCCAGCCAUUCCGCGUGAGUGAAGAAGGCCUUCGGGUUGUAAAACUCUUUCGCAAGGGAAGAAAACUUAUGAUCGAAUAAAUCAUGAGGUUGACGGUACCUUGAUAAGAAGCACCGGCUAACUACGUGCCAGCAGCCGCGGUAAUACGUAGGGUGCGAGCGUUAAUCGGAAUUACUGGGCGUAAAGCGUGCGCAGGCGGUUUUGUAAGUCGGAUGUGAAAUCCCCGGGCUCAACCUGGGAACUGCGUUCGAAACUGCAAGGCUAGAGUGUGUCAGAGGGGGGUUAGAAUUCCACGUGUAGCAGUGAAAUGCGUAGAGAUGUGGAGGAAUACCAAUGGCGAAGGCAGCCCCCUGGGAUAACACUGACGCUCAUGCACGAAAGCGUGGGGAGCAAACAGGAUUAGAUACCCUGGUAGUCCACGCCCUAAACGAUGUCAACUAGUUGUUGGUAGAGUAAAAUCUAUGAGUAACGUAGCUAACGCGUGAAGUUGACCGCCUGGGGAGUACGGUCGCAAGNUUAAAACUCAAAGGAAUUGACGGNUGAGAGNGCGAGACGACGACGAGGGAGAGG
rnacentral:rRNA from 1 species